GUUAAAUAUUUAGGGACAGGGAAACGUUCCCGCCACAGUGUUCUUUUUCCUCAUACAUUUCUACAUGACUUCAAGACUUUGGAUGCCUGCACGUGUCCAGGUUGAACGUUCAGGUGACCAGGUUGAAAACAGUAUUAUUUAAAUAAAACAGGCCAGGCGCAGGGAGGCAUUCCUGAGUCUGAGACAGGAGGAACUCAAGUUCCAGCCAGCCAGGGCAAGUAAUAAAAAGUACUGGGGAAGAACUUGGUGGCAGAGGGCCCUUGGGUUCGGUCUCCAGUACUGCGGGGAAAGAGGGUGAAGAAAAAGGUUUUCAUCUACGUGAACAUGAUGGUUCACGGGAAAUUUUGUAAAAAGUCAGAAAAGAAAAAAAUCCUGCAGAGUUAUGUGUAGCUCCAGUCGUCAAGGUUGCAAGUGCUUUGAAGUCCAGCGCGCAUAUGCAUGAGCGUGAGCCCUUAGGAGGGAGGCUGUCGGAGAAGCAAGGGGAAGGGCCAAUGACUGUCACUCCGCCUCCGCCUGGACAGAGUCCCAGGACAGCACCGUCAGAUGCAGGACGGCCUGGACAGAGUCGGACGGGUAUGUGCAGACCCCAUAAUUACCAGUAACAGCCACGUAGUGUUACAAGAACAUGUGCCCUCACUGACCCCCUCGGAUGGAAACCCGGGAUGGAGCCCCCUAGUGGCGGGCGUGAGAAGUGCACAAACAUCUCUGCAUGGAUUGCUUGUCCUACUUGGACAGAUGCAUUUUUUCCGAGGUUUGUCGCUGGGCAUUUUGCAUGGCAUACGUAACACAGCUCCUAGUAGCUGGUGACCCUGUCCAGCUCCUUUCUUGAGCUACGCCUUGGCACACAGCAUGACAGCCCCGAAUUCGGGAUCUUGGGCCUCCUAGCAUCUUUGGAAUCCAAAUCUGCAUUGUGCUGGACGUGGUGGCACAGCUCAGCACUCCGGGAGGCUGAGGCAGGAUUGCGACUCUGAAAAAAGGGUUGGGAAUGUGUUUGUUUUAAGGUCCUGGGUUCAAUCCCUAACAAACACACAGGCAGAACUUGUUUUAGGAAUUCUGAAAUAGAAGACAAGAAGGAGAAAUCAGAAGGAAGAGGAAAAAGAAGAAUAGAGAGAAGGAACCCCACAAAUUAAAAUUCGCAAUUCAAUCUGAUAUACAGUCCACAAUAACCAGGCAUGUGUACGAGCAAGACAAUCUCAAGAGAAAAACAGAGUAAAAUAAUCAAGUAACCCGGAAGUGACACAGAUGUUACAAUUAUCAGACAAAGAAACUCAAAAUAGUACUACACCCAUAUUUCAUAUACUGACAAGGUCAAGUAGGCCUAUGGAAGGUAGGGCAAAGACGGAAGGGAAACUUGUAGUUUGUUGUUUGUUUUGUGACAGGGUCUCACUACGUAGUUGAGACUGACCUGGAACUCAUUAUGUAGCUCAGGCUGGUCUUGAACUCACAGUGAUCCUCCUGCCUCAGCCUCCUGAGUGCUGGCAUUACAGGCAUGCGCCACCACACCUGGCUGGGAAAUUUAUAGUUUGGAUGGGAUUCAUGGCAGGAUAGGAAUUACAAGAGAAAAGAUUAGUGAACCACAUGGAACACGAGGAAUUGUCCAUUUUUGGUGUGUGAUUACAUGACUUUAUCAACACACAUGAGACUGUAUAACAGAAAGAGCACAUUUUACUACACGUCAGAUAUACCUUGCUAAAGCUCACAGGAAGAAACUACUUUGGAAUUAGUAUAUAUAUAUUUUUUGCUUUGUUUUGGUUUUUCUUUUUUUUUUUUGGUACAGGGGAUCCAACUUGGGACCUUUCACCUGCAAGGCAGGUGGCAGAACCACUGAGCUACAUCCCCAGCCCCAUUUGCAAUAUGAUGUCUACAGUUUACUUCAAAAUAACACAUGGGCCGGGUGUGGUGGCACACGCCUGUAAUCCCAGCACUUGGGAGGCUGAGGCAGGAGGAUCACUGUGAGUUCGAGACCAACCUGGGCUACAUAGUGAGUUCCAGGUCAGUCUCAACUACAUAGUGAGGUCCUGUCUCAAAAAAUAAAAAAAAACAAAAACGGGGUCAGGGAUUUAGCUCAGUGGUUCCACUGCCUGCCUUGCAAGUGCAAGGACCCAAGUUCGUGGGUACCAAAAAAAAAAAAUCAAAAUAAGACAUGGAAAUGGGUCCGGAUAUAAUGAAACAAAAUUAGUCAUGAGUUAAUUGUUGUUUCUUUCUCUUUUUUCUGAGACAGGGUCUCACUGUGUAGUGCAGGCUGCCCUUGAACUCGUGCUGACCCUCUUGCAUGAGCCUCCUGAGAGGUGGGAUUUCAGGCACAAGGCACCAUGUCUGGCUUGCAUAUGUAUUUUUUAAAUAGAUAAAUGAAGGACUGCUCCUUUUCAGUUUUCAACUCCAGCAUUAGACCUUAGAAAGUACUUGUCCAAAGUCAGAAGCCAACUGUAUUUGUUAGCUUUCAAUUGCUGUGAGAAAAUAUUUAAGGAGAACAAUGUAAGAGGAAGGAAUUCUUUGGGCUUAUUGUUUCUGGGGUUUCAGUUUACAGCUAGCCAGCUUUCAGGCCUGUGGCAAGGUGGAAACAUCAUGGUGAACGAAGCUGGGUGUGAUGGUGCAUACCUGUAAUUCUAGUACUUGGGAGGCUGAGGCAGGAGGGUCAUAUUGAGUUCGAAGCCAGUUUAACCUACAUAGUGAGUUCAAGGCCAGCCUAAACUGCAUAGCAAGGUCCUGUCUCAAAAAACCAAACCGAACAAAAACAAAAACAAACAAAAAACCCUUCAAAAUGCCAUGGUGGGAGGCAUGGUGGAGGAAAUCUGCUCAGUUCAUGGCAGUAGAAAGCAGAGGGAAAGGAAGGGAUGGGACAAGACACACACUUCCCAGGCACAGUCCCAGGGACUUGUGUCCUCAGCGAGGGCCGCUCCUAACAGCCUGGUCAGCUGUGAAUCCACUUGAGGAAGUCGGAGCCCCUCAUCCAAUCACUUCCCCCAAGCCCAAGCCUUCAGGACAGUGAGCCCUUGGGAACCCUUUGGACCCACAGCAUAACACUGACCUGCAUGCAUUCGAGCAUCCCCACCCCAGGGUCUGACACCUCAACAAAAUAAACAGCUUUGGAAUCUGACCGCCCCAUCACACCUGUGAGCUUGGGACCUCUGGCCUCCUCAUUAUGAGAGUUUACUUCUAAGAGUCAGAGAGGAGAGUCUAAUUCACAGGCAGUCAUUAAUUAGCUCUUGGGUAGAUCACAACCUGUUCAGGCCUCAACUAAGAAUUACAGAGAUGGGGUUUUGGCUCAGUGGUUCUGCCACCUGCUUCACAAGUGCAAGGUCCCGAGUUCGAUCCCCAGUACUGGAAAAAAAUAAAAAGGAAUUACAGUUGGGCUGAGCCCAGUGGCACACACCUGUAGUCCCAGUACCAGGGAUACUGAAGGAAGAGGAUCACUGUGAGUUCAAGGCCAGCUUGGACUACAUAGUGUGCCCCCCAUGUCCCUGUGGCGUUUGACACUUGAAAGGAAACUUCUUCCUAUACAAUUAAGGCAUUGAUUGAUACAAUCUAUGUAACAUUUGUUACUUUUCAAGGACUCUGCUUGUUAAACUUGUUUUUUGACCCUGCGAUGGGAGAAACUUGAAGAGAUAGCUAAAGAUCUGACGUUAUCUGUAGGAGUCAGGUGCUUCCUGUUGAUAUGCCUUUAAAAAGAGCUGUUCCGGUGAAAUAAAUCAGACUUCUCUUGGUCUCCGCUCAGUCUUGAGUGUUCUUUCCUUUCUUAAUCCUCACUCCCCAACUCAGGCAUGUUCGUGUUGUGACAGCUGGGCGGCCACAACAUAGCAAGACCCUAUCUCAAACAAAACAAAACUAUAGGGCAGGGGAUAUAGCUCAGUGGUUCUGCCACCUGCCUUGCAAGCAAAAGGUCCUGAGUUCAAAAGCCCAGUAGAAAAAAAAUUACAAAAGUUUUCUGUGUGUUUCUUUGCAUUUUCCCCUUUCAGAGUGCUGGUGGCAUCUAGGACCCCAUAACCGUGAGCCUUGAAGUGGAGGCCGCUUUAAAGUUCAUCCCAGUCCUUCAGCACUUAGUGUCUGCAUGCGCCCCACGCUCCGGGGAUCCAGAGAUAACAUGGGCUGGGUUCCCUGUGGUCUUGGGGGGACUGUUCACCUGUGGAAGGCAACAUGAACAGCUGGGGAGCCAACCAUUUCCUAGCUGGGGAUUUGCAGAGUGGUGUUCUGGUUUUGCUGUGUCCUUGGGGGAAGACUCUUGGACAGUAUCUCAGAGUGCUCCUUCUUUGGAACUCGUGAUUUGAGGUUAGGUCACCCUAGCGUGUUCCUCCCCCUAACCCUUUUUGAUAUCGAGGAUCAAACCCAGAGCUUUUGUGCUGAGUUAUAUCUUCACCUUUCUUUCUUUUCUUUUUCUUUUUUUUUUUUUUUGUUACAAGUUCUCACUAAGUUGCCCAGCUGGGCUGGACCUUGUGAUCCUCCUGCCUCAGCCUCCCAGUCCUGGGAUUCCAAGUGUGCACGACCACAUCUGGUUUACAGAGGAACCACAGGAGGUUCCACAUGCAACAGCAGGUCAGACGGGA
rnacentral:lncRNA from 1 species